AUGGUUUUUUUGCAAAGCAGUGUGUCACAGUGUAAUACUGGGAAUUACGGCAAACUUGUAUUUGGAGCUGGAACCAAACUUAGAGUAUCUCCAGAUGUUACUCCCUCUCCUUCAGUAUAUAGGCUGACGUCUAAAGAUGAUGAGGGUUUGGAAAUGUGCCUUAUCACAGAUUACUCCCCUGACAAGCUUAAAUCUGAGACGACUGAUAGCAAGACAUAUGCCAUUGUGGAGACGGUAACAUCGGAGGAUAAACACGAAGCAAGCUACCUGUCAACCUACUGGACCUAUAAAAAUGAAAUGCAGUGCAGUGCAAUCCAUGAGGGGUUUGGAGAGCUAGAAGGCCAAGAUCCUGAAAAUGGUGCUAGUGCUGUCUGUGUGACAGAAGUGUCUCAAAACUUCAGGACAGAUGAGAGGUUGAACCUGCUGUCAUUCUCACAACUUGGCCUGAAAAUAAUUUUAAUGAAAGGAAUAAUUUUUAAUGUACUGAUAACAAUGCUUAUGUGGAAAAAAAAGUGA